CAUUCUAUCAUUUAAAGUUGUACUCACAAUUCAUUUAUUUAAUUUUAUUGGAAUUUUUCACAUUUCCCUGCCAACCCCCCCUCCCUCAAGUUUCGCCCCUGCUUAAAAUUUCUUGAUACUGAGAAUAUAAAUCUAGCUGCGUUAGUGAUAUCACAGGGACCCAUACUCGAUCAGUAUCAGUUAAAGAGUCCUGGUCAACCACGAUGCAAUGCGCGCUUUUGUUUACGUUUUUCCGUUACUUUUCUCGCCAUUUUCGAGACCACAAAUGACUGCCUCUGGCCCACACCGUAGCAGAAUUUAUUUAUCGUGUUUUAAAUAAAGUUUAUCCUGUCC